rnacentral:lncRNA from 1 species
CUUUUAUUUUCUCCAGUAGAACUAGUGUUGCUCACAACGAAUUCUUAAACCUCGACUAAGCAUACAGAUUCAAAAUUAAUCUUUGCAUUUAUAUACAAAUUGGAAACAUCUCUCUCUUCAGCUUGUUCCUUCAGUAAGAUUAUUAGUUUCGGUCCAAGACUAAUUCUUCUAUAUCUAGUUUAAUCUUCUUCAACACUAACAUGGGCUUCUUCGGCUUCACUUUUGUUCCAGUUAGCUCAUGGUAUCCAACUCAGUUAGCUCAUGGUAUCCAACUGAAAACGUGUAACUUUCCUACAAAAAACCCUCUAAAUUCUCAAUAAAGAAAAUGAAAUCUAGUUAAUAGAAAAAGCAACCCGUUAAAGGGAUUGCAGUGAAGUCACAAAAAACCUAAGAUUGGAGGUAGAUAAUGCCGAUUUGAAGGUUCUGGAGGCUGUUUUGAAAAGAGGGUUGUGCUUCAACCGUGCCUUCUAUCAGUUUUGCUGUUAACAAAAAGUUCUCUGCCAAAGUCUAAAAAUCCUGAAAUACAGCAAUGUGAUGUGAUCCUUUUGUUUCUUUAUAGCCAUCUUUUAUACUUGUUAAUUUCUAUAUGUAUGCACUAUUUUCUCAUGCAUCAAUAUCGCUGCUCGUUUGCAUAUAUUUAUGGUUGUAAUUAUGCUUGUAAUUUUGACACUAUGCUUUUCAUGUAGGAUACAUCAACAUACAACUCUAAUAUCCAAAACGAAUUAUUUAUUGAUUACACAAAUAUAUUUACUACAAAUAUGAUAAGUAAUUAUAUUCUUAUUUUUAAUAUUAUCAUAUAUUUAUAUCCAAAUAUUUGAUGAUAUAGAGAUGUUUACACG